rnacentral:lncRNA from 1 species
CUUCAAAAUAUCAUGAAUCAGUACUGUCUGUGGAUAGGCAUACCCAUUUUCAGGAAUCCUGUGUGAUUUACUCUAAGGAACAUCAUACGAACACAUAUAUUUAGUGACAAGAGAAAGAAAAGAGUGCCUGGAGAAGACGCAACUUUUCUAUAUCCUGGCCCAGAAGAGAUACUUGUCACUUGCUCUCAGAAUCAAGUGGCAAGAGCUGGUCACAUGGACACCCCAUCACAGGAAGAUUGGGCAUGGAAGAAAAUCAUGUGUAUGUUUGGUAAGCAGUAUAUAGGUAUAUGUAUAUUCUUUAACACUCAACUAAAUCAAACCA